rnacentral:tRNA from 1 species
GCCGGGAUGGCGAAACUGGUAGACGCGGGGGACUUAAAAUCCCCUGGGGCGCUGCCUCGUGCCGGUUCGAAUCCGGCUCCCGGCACCA